GGGAUCAGAUUGAAAUUGACACAACUCAGAAAAGAAUUCCUCUUCAUUUCCUCAACCCAACCUGCUUUCCAUUUCCUCUCACCCAGCUUGCGCUUAUCCCUCCGUCUUCCUCACCAAACACCAUACGUCCUCCUUCACCCACUCAAUAAUACCGACAACAACACCAACAACCCACAGCUACUUCAACCUCUGUCAAAACUGGAGCAUACUCCCUCUGUUUUCCGAACACAACUAGCCAACUUCCACCGCCCACAACAACAUCCAUUCAACCGGACACGCUCCGUCAAUCUCAACUUUCUUUCUCUUUUAUUUUCUAUAUGUGAUUUAGAUAAUAAAUAA